UUGAACUCCUGUUCUACACUUCC
rnacentral:piRNA from 1 species